rfam:Trichobilharzia regenti genome assembly, scaffold: TRE_scaffold0002631
GUACUGCUGAGGAGUCCCAGACUAGUGGGGCGAAACAGUUGUCCAGUAC